CUCCAUGGACCAAUGUGCAAGAUGGCUGCUGUCUGGAUGGAAACAUGUCUCCUGUGACAUGGUUCACUGAUUAAUGAACAGAGUUCAACACAGAGGAGCUUCGUAGGCUAAACAAUCAAUGUUUAAAUGGAUUUGAAAAGAAGUAAGAACUCUUCAUGUGAACAACCAGGCAGAGAUUGGAUUGGCCCUCCAUUAUGACCAGUUCCAGGAGCACAUUUAGCAGCGACUACAUGAGGGUGAAGGAAGACAUGCAGCAAAGGUCACCAGGCCGGGGAUCGAACCUGUGACCCCGCUUCGAGGACCAAGGCCUCCAUGUGUGGGUUGGGCUUAACCGCUGACCCACCACAGCAAAAAUGUUAU